CAGCGUUUUGCCGCAGCUAUCUGC
rnacentral:siRNA from 1 species